rnacentral:lncRNA from 1 species
CCACCGUUGUACCUACUUUCGUACUUUCGUGCCUAACCUACGUACACACGCACUUUACCGUAUGUCUGGUAUUAUGUGUUUAUUUUGUAUACACGUUCGCAUCGACGAUUCUCUAUCUGGAGAAUGGAUUUACAGGAACUAAAAAUUUUACGUUCAAGAAUUAUUAACCCUGAUUAAAACAAAAACCGAAGAAAUCGUUUCACGGUCUAGAGGUUACACGUCGAGGAAGGAAUUACCAGUAAAGACCCGAAGGAAAGGAGUGAAAGAUAUAUCAGAAUAGGAUUCAUAUUUACAAAAAAAAAAAAUUAUCACUAAAUGAAAGUAAAGAAAAGAAACUAAACCUAUGUCAAGAUAGGAAGAAUCGUACACAGGUAUAAUGAUAUUGUGAAACGACCGACACAGUUAGACCAGAUGCAACUACAAAGCGUGCAAAUGUAUCACCAUGUGCAUUAUGACAAUGCUUUCCUAUCGAUGUUUAUUCGACGAUAACGUUGCUAGGUCUUACAAAUGCGAUUCUACACCAUGGCGUACGUGACCGAUAUGUCGAAGGCGUGCCGUCUGGGACCACAGAAGCUGCAACGGCAUAUACUAAGAAGACGUACACUGAGAAACCACAGUUCCGGAAUUUAUCAGGUAAGAUAGUACCCACUUCCAGGAGACUCGAUGCAUGUUAUGUGGAUGAGAAUACAAACUCUCGGGAGUAGUACGCGUAUGCUCCUAACUGGUGCGCUUAAAAGUUUUACGUUCUUUUUACAAUGAGUUUUAGCACGAAAUGUAAAUUCAUUUUCUUUUUUCUUAAAGUUCCACUCGAGAUAGAUAGCAAUUUUAAAAAGUUUCGUUAUGUAUGUGUGAGAAAUUUUCGGUCGAAGUCUCAUUUCGAAUUAAUUUAAUUCUUUUUUUUUUCCAUCUUGAAAUCUAAUUCUUGUCUUAGAGAAAAUCGAUCGAUGUUCAACUGUUAAACGAUCAAUAGAAAUUAUCGAACAUAAUUCGGUCAGACAAACCGGUAAACCGUUACAAACCGUUAUAUACAAACUUUUUACGUUUGUUUCUUUGUCGGGACGGAAAAUUAGGUUUAUCGUACGGAUGAAUUAUAACAAACGGUGAUCAUGCUAACGUUAACAUUAUCGUUAAAGUAGUUAUGGAUAGUAAGAUCUUUAAAGCGAAGUUCUAGUUUGCGGUCAAGCAAUCGCCAUACCAGACCACCGUUUCUGUAUCACGAUAGAGGAACACUUCUAUGGAUUCAGCUAAUCGAGUUGGCAACUAUUGUGUAAGCACACACGUACACAUAAUCAUGUUACCGGCAGGCAGUCGAACCCGUUGUCGUUGUCCAAAACGACUAUAUGACUAGUAAAAUGCUACAGCACUUUUAUUACACGUACAUGCUAUGAUGUAUUUUAAAAUUGAAUCAUACCACUGAAAAUGCUAAUGGGAGAAACGUUUGAUUAGAGACCUAAAUUACAUCACUAUAUAAUGAUCACUAUACCGAUAUUCAUUCGUCAUGAUGAAUACGAUGAAUCAAGAUUUGGACUCACUAAUUUUCUCUUUGAUUAAUCACCGGCAGCUACCGGUCGCAAAAAUAUGGACUAAGAAACGAGCAGUGGAAUAUCUCGGUAUAUAUACUUCAUCAUAAGUAUUGACUAAUGAAAUAUGUAUCAAAAAAUUCUAGAUUAUUACUUGCGAAUACAUGUGUGACGCCUUAAAUUUACGUACACGUUCUGUAAAAUAUUUUUUUUCCUCUUAGCAUCGAACUCGUUCUUAUCGUAACAACUCUUUCGCAUACAAUCAAUAGAGAUUCACGUCAUACAAAUGUUUAUCCAUUGCUUUGAUUGGUAACGGAAUCCUUUCAAUUUAACCAAAACGCGUAGAUCGACGUAUAUUUGAUAGGAAAGCUGCUUUUGAUGUAAAUACGUACAUUUGAUGUACGUUUACAGGAAUCUGGAUGGGCUUAUUAUAUUCGUGUCUAUGUGGAAUAAUUUCCACUUAAUUGCACAGUUAGUUGGCAGUUUGAUUGGAAUUAGUUACGGUCUUAAUGGCCAACGUUAUAAAGUGUACGACUUAGAAAAUGAAUCAACGCUGGUUUUAUUAUUGUAUUAAUGACCGAUCAAAUUUAGUUAUUGGCCCAUAACUUUUUUAAUUGUAAAUAUUUUUCGGUAUAUCGACUUUUGGUGGACUAUCCCGUGAAGUUUCCCGCGAUGGGAAGCGUAAAAGCUUAAAAAUUAUGUGUUUCGGGGCGCUGACAAUUUUACUGGCGCGUUUUUAAAAGUUGCGUGCACACAUAGAUACCUGUAUAUACCUGUAUAUCGGUCUUAAAAAGUUAUUGGGGCGAGGAUUACGGGUGUAAAAAAGUUGAGGGCAAAUACUUUACUCUUCAAUAUAGGCAUUCUCUCAUACAGGCGUACGCACGUAACUUGCAAAAUACUCGGUCUUUCAGCAACGAAGUUACGUUUUUUCUUUCUUUUUUUUAAUGUAUCUUCUUCAUGAAAAACGUCUUACGCCUCUUAAGUUAGUUCAAUGAACAUUGAAGAGCGUAAAGCCAGACUCUUACCAUCUAAUAG